rnacentral:misc_RNA from 1 species
GAUGAAGAACGUAGCGAAAUGCGAUAAGUAAUGUGAAUUGCAGAAUUCAGUGAAUCAUCGAAUCUUUGAACGCACAUUGCGCCCGCCAGUAUUCUGGCGGGCAUGCCUGUUCGAGCGUCAUUACAACCCUCAGGCCCCCGGGCCUGGCGUUGGGGAUCGGCGGAAGCCCCCUGUGGGCACACGCCGUCCCUCAAAUACAGUGGCGGUCCCGCCGCAGCUUCCAUUGCGUAGUAGCUAACACCUCGCAACUGGAGAGCGGCGCGGCCAUGCCGUAAAACACCCAACUUCUGAAUGUUGACCUCGAAGCAGGUAGGAAUACCCGCUGAACUUAAGCAUAUCAAUAAGCGGAGGA